CAGUAGCCACGGUAAUACAGAGGGUGCGAGCGUUAAUCGGAUUUACUGGGCGUAAAGCGCACGCAGGCGGUCUGUCAAGUCGGAUGUGAAAUCCCCGGGCUCAACCUGGGAACUGCAUUCGAAACUGGCAGGCUAGAGUCUUGUAGAGGGGGGUAGAAUUCCAGGUGUAGCGGUGAAAUGCGUAGAGAUCUGGAGGAAUACCGGUGGCGAAGGCGGCCCCCUGGACAAAGACUGACGCUCAGGUGCGAAAGCGUGGGGAGCAAACAGGAUUAGAUACCCGGGUAGUCCCUGUCUCUUAUAC
rnacentral:rRNA from 1 species